GACGAACGCUGGCGGCGUGCUUAACACAUGCAAGUCGAACGGAAAGGCCCUGCUUUUGUGGGGUGCUCGAGUGGCGAACGGGUGAGUAACACGUGAGUAACCUGCCCUUGACUUUGGGAUAACUUCAGGAAACUGGGGCUAAUACCGGAUAGGAGCUCCUGCUGCAUGGUGGGGGUUGGAAAGUUUCGGCGGUUGGGGAUGGACUUGCGGCUUAUCAGCUUGUUGGUGGGGUAGUGGCUUACCAAGGCUUUGACGGGUAGCCGGCCUGAGAGGGUGACCGGCCACAUUGGGACUGAGAUACGGCCCAGACUCCUACGGGAGGCAGCAGUGGGGAAUAUUGCACAAUGGGCGGAAGCCUGAUGCAGCAACGCCGCGUGCGGGAUGACGGCCUUCGGGUUGUAAACCGCUUUCGCCUGUGACGAAGCGUGAGUGACGGUAAUGGGUAAAGAAGCACCGGCUAACUACGUGCCAGCAGCCGCGGUGAUACGUAGGGUGCGAGCGUUGUCCGGAUUUAUUGGGCGUAAAGGGCUCGUAGGUGGUUGAUCGCGUCGGAAGUGUAAUCUUGGGGCUUAACCCUGAGCGUGCUUUCGAUACGGGUUGACUUGAGGAAGGUAGGGGAGAAUGGAAUUCCUGGUGGAGCGGUGGAAUGCGCAGAUAUCAGGAGGAACACCAGUGGCGAAGGCGGUUCUCUGGGCCUUUCCUGACGCUGAGGAGCGAAAGCGUGGGGAGCGAACAGGCUUAGAUACCCUGGUAGUCCACGCUGUAAACGGUGGGUACUAGGUGUGGGGUCCAUUCCACGGGUUCCGUGCCGUAGCUAACGCUUUAAGUACCCCGCCUGGGGAGUACGGCCGCAAGGCUAAAACUCAAAGGAAUUGACGGGGCCCCGCACAAGCGGCGGAGCAUGCGGAUUAAUUCGAUGCAACGCGUAGAACCUUACCUGGGUUUGACAUGGAUCGGGAGUGCUCUGAGAUGGGUGUGCCUCUUUUGGGGUCGGUUCACAGGUGGUGCAUGGCUGUCGUCAGCUCGUGUCGUGAGAUGUUGGGUUAAGUCCCGCAACGAGCGCAACCCUUGUUCACUGUUGCCAGCACGUUAUGGUGGGGACUCAGUGGAGACCGCCGGGGUCAACUCGGAGGAAGGUGGGGAUGACGUCAAGUCAUCAUGCCCCUUAUGUCCAGGGCUUCACGCAUGCUACAAUGGCCGGUACAGAGAGUGGCGAGCCUGUGAGGGUGAGCGAAUCUCGGAAAGCCGGUCUCAGUUCGGAUUGGGGUCUGCAACUCGACCUCAUGAAGUCGGAGUCGCUAGUAAUCGCAGAUCAGCAACGCUGCGGUGAAUACGUUCCCGGGGCU
rnacentral:rRNA from 1 species